rnacentral:rRNA from 1 species
CAGCAGCCGCGGUAAUACGUAGGGUGCGAGCGUUAAUCGGAAUUACUGGGCGUAAAGCGUGCGCAGGCGGUUCGUUAAGACAGAUGUGAAAUCCCCGGGCUUAACCUGGGAACUGCAUUUGUGACUGGCGAGCUAGAGUAUGGCAGAGGGGGGGUAGAAUUCCACGUGUAGCAGUGAAAUGCGUAGAGAUGUGGAGGAAUACCGAUGGCGAAGGCAGCCCCCUGGGCCAAUACUGACGCUCAUGCACGAAAGCGUGGGGAGCAAACAGGAUUAGAUACCCCUGUAGUCCCUGUCUCUUAUA